GCCAGUGUGGUAUAGUGGUUUUAGCAUAGGACUAGGACUCUAGAGAUCAGGGUCUGAUUCCCUGCUCAGACA